UGGGGAAUAUUGGACAAUGGGCGCAAGCCUGAUCCAGCCAUGCCGCGUGAGUGAUGAAGGCCUUAGGGUUGUAAAGCUCUUUCACCGGAGAAGAUAAUGACGGUAUCCGGAGAAGAAGCCCCGGCUAACUUCGUGCCAGCAGCCGCGGUAAUACGAAGGGGGCUAGCGUUGUUCGGAAUUACUGGGCGUAAAGCGCACGUAGGCGGACAUUUAAGUCAGGGGUGAAAUCCCGGGGCUCAACCUCGGAACUGCCUUUGAUACUGGGUGUCUUGAGUGUGGAAGAGGUCAGUGGAAUUGCGAGUGUAGAGGUGAAAUUCGUAGAUAUUCGCAGGAACACCAGUGGCGAAGGCGGCUGACUGGUCCACAACUGACGCUGAGGUGCGAAAGCGUGGGGAGCAAA
rnacentral:rRNA from 1 species